rfam:Rattus norvegicus chromosome 6, whole genome shotgun sequence.
CUCGGGGUAGCUCAGUGGUAGAGCGCUUGCCUAGGAAGCGCAAGGCCCUGGGUUUGGUCCCCAGCUCCGAAA